UACGAAGGGGGGCUAGCGUUGUUCGGAUUUACUGGGCGUAAAGCGCACGUAGGGCGGACUAUUAAGUCAGGGGUGAAAAUCCCGGGGCUCAACCCCGGAACUGCCCUUGAAAACUGCAGUGCUAGAAUCUUGGAGAGGUCAGUGGAAUUCCGGAGUGUAGAGGUGAAAUUCGUAGAUAUUCGGAAGAACACCAGUGGCGAAGGCGACUGACUGGACAAGUAUUGACGCUGAGGUGCGAAAGCGUGGGGAGCAAAGCAGG
rnacentral:rRNA from 1 species